AGUGAACGCUGGCGGUAGGCCUAACACAUGCAAGUCGAACGGCAGCACAGUAAGAGCUUGCUCUUACGGGUGGCGAGUGGCGGACGGGUGAGGAAUACAUCGGAAUCUACUUUUUCGUGGGGGAUAACGUAGGGAAACUUACGCUAAUACCGCAUACGACCUACGGGUGAAAGCAGGGGAUCUUCGGACCUUGCGCGAUUGAAUGAGCCGAUGUCGGAUUAGCUAGUUGGCGGGGUAAAGGCCCACCAAGGCGACGAUCCGUAGCUGGUCUGAGAGGAUGAUCAGCCACACUGGAACUGAGACACGGUCCAGACUCCUACGGGAGGCAGCAGUGGGGAAUAUUGGACAAUGGGCGCAAGCCUGAUCCAGCCAUGCCGCGUGGGUGAAGAAGGCCUUCGGGUUGUAAAGCCCUUUUGUUGGGAAAGAAAAGCAGCAGGUUAAUACCCGGCUGUUCUGACGGUACCCAAAGAAUAAGCACCGGCUAACUUCGUG
rnacentral:rRNA from 1 species